GAUGAACGCUGGCGGCGUGCCUAAUACAUGCAAGUCGAGCGAACAGACGAGGAGCUUGCUCCUCUGACGUUAGCGGCGGACGGGUGAGUAACACGUGGAUAACCUACCUAUAAGACUGGGAUAACUACGGGAAACCGGAGCUAAUACCGGAUAAUAUAUUGAACCGCAUGGUUCAAUAGUGAAAGUCGGUUUUGCUGUCUCUUAUAGAUGGUUCCGGGCCGCAUUAGCUAGUUGGUAAGGUAACGGCCUACCAAGGCAACGAUGCGUAGCCGACCUGAGAGGGUGAUCAGCCACACGGGAACUGAGACACGGUCCAGACUCCUGCGGGAGGCAGCAGUGGGGAAUGUUCGGCAAUGGGCGAAAGCCUGACGGAGCAACGCCGCGUGAGUGAAGAAGGCCUUCGGAUUGUAAACCGCUGUUGUCAGGGACGAACAAAUGUGUGCGAAAAUCGGCAGGUCAUGACGGUACCUAAACAGAAAGCAACGGCUAACUACGUG
rnacentral:rRNA from 1 species